CCUACGGGAGGCUGCAGUGGGGAAUAUUGGACAAUGGGGGGAACCCUGAUCCAGCCAUGCCGCGUGUGUGAAGAAGGCCCUCGGGUUGUAAAGCACUUUCAGUGAGGAAGAACGCCUGGUGGUUAAUACCCAUCAGGAAAGACAUCACUCACAGAAGAAGCACCGGCUAACUCCGUGCCAGCAGCCGCGGUAAUACGGAGGGUGCGAGCGUUAAUCGGAAUUACUGGGCGUAAAGCGCGCGUAGGUGGCUUGAUAAGCCGGUUGUGAAAGCCCCGGGCUCAACCUGGGAACGGCAUCCGGAACUGUCAAGCUAGAGUGCAGGAGAGGAAGGUAGAAUUCCCGGUGUUGCGGUGAAAUGCGUAGAGAUCGGGAGGAAUACCAGUGGCGAAGGCGGCCUUCUGGACUGACACUGACACUGAGGUGCGAAAGCGUGGGUAGCAAACAGGAUUAGAUACCCCUGUAGUC
rnacentral:rRNA from 1 species